rnacentral:lncRNA from 1 species
GGUGAUUUGAAAAAUGAAUUAACGCUCAAUAUUAGAAGUGUUGAAAGAUAUUCUAGGUAGUGAAUAGAAUUGCACUGCACGUCACUAAAUCAGCGGAGGCACCUUUAAAAAAAGAAAAGUUCUAAUGUUGUCAUGUUAUUUUAUGUAAACUAGCAAAUACAAAUAAAAUGGAGUAGAAAAUGCUAGGUAAACAACAUUAUUAUGAUCUAUCUCCAAAAGAAUUCUUUGACAGAUUCUUGCCAUGAUAGCUCAAGCGUAAGCAUCACCAAAAUAGCAGCUAGCCCCCAUGACGAACCCCCAAUUCUGGACACCCACGUUGGAUCUGGAGAUGGAAUUAGCCAGGCUUUACCUCCACUUGGCAUCGAUGACGAUGACGAUGUGGUCCUAAUGGCAAUUAGAAGCGCUGCUAAAACCAUUGGAAGAACAAAUCCAGAGCUCAAUUUCAAAUCAUAAUAACCCAUCUCAUGUUUCCUCCUAACGUACAAUGGAGAUAGAACCACUGCUGCAAUCAGAGCCAAUACCAUGGCUACUCCUCGUGGCGAUGCGUAAGUAGGCAUAGCCAUUGCUAGUUAGCUGCACUUUUUGUCUUUUGAUGUCUUGCAAAAUAAAGAAGCAACUUACAUGAUUAAUCGGAGGUUAUUUGAUGUUGAAUAUAUAGGUGGAAGAAAGAUA